rnacentral:sRNA from 1 species
CUCUCCCCCCCCUUCCCCCCCUCCUCCUCCUCAUCCUCAAGGGUGUCAGUGCUGUCACUCUCAUCUAGGACGAUGGGAGUUGGGUGGCCAGGUUGGGAAUGGUCUUGAUCAUGGAGCUGCAGACAACGUCGGCGGCGGGACCUUGGGGAUAGAGUAGAAAGGAGACAGGGCUCGCGGCCUGUGAGUAUUCGAACCAUAUUUUGGAUGAGGGAUUGAAAAAAGAACUCUUUUGGCGAGAGAGGUUGAGAAGAAGAUGUUAGAGCAUUCAGUAUUGAGAUUUCGAAAGCUGGUGCUGACUAGGUUCAGAACAGAAAAGUUCAGAGUAAAAC